rnacentral:rRNA from 1 species
GGACUACUCGGGUAUCUAAUCCUGUUCGCUCCCCACGCUUUCGCGCCUCAGCGUCAGUAUUAUGCCAGGUGGCUGCCUUCGCCAUUGACGUUCCUUCCGAUCUCUACGCAUUUCACCGCUACACCGGAAAUUCCGCCACCCUCUCAUAUACUCCAGUUAACUAGUUUGCGAUGCACUUCCUAGGUUAAGCCCAGGGCUUUCACAUCACACCCUUCUAACCGCCUACGCGCCCUUUACGCCCAGUAAAUCCGAUUAACGCUUGCACCCUCUGUAUUACCGCGGCUGCUGGCAC